AACACUGUUAACCUGCGGUACCUGCGGAGGGAUCAUUACAGAGUUCGUGCCCUCGCGGGUAGAUCUCCCACCCUUGUGUAUUUUCUACAUCUUGUUGCUUUGGCAGGCCGUUGGUUCGCCAACCACCGGCUCGCGGGCUGGUGCGUGCCUGCCAGAGGACCUCUCAAACUCGGUUUGUUAGUGUCGUCUGAGUACCAUAACAAUCGUUAAAACUUUCAACAACGGAUCUCAGAUCGGAAG
rnacentral:misc_RNA from 1 species